CAACCAACCAACCAACCAACAAACCACACAACCAACAAACCAGUAUGUGAGUGAGACAGACAGAGAGAGAGACAGAGAAAGAACUUUGAGGCCUGGGUAUCGCAAUAUAUGCUGUUGAGCAUGAUUUUAGCAGCUCCUAAGAGAGAGGGAAGUCAGUCAACUAAAAAGAAGGAUAUUUAUACCUCAGAUAUUGUGUGCUGUUCAUUUUGAUACAGUGGGUUUUUCAUUUGUAAAGGUUAGUAGAUUGUCCGUGUUGGUAGAGCUAUAGAGGAGCUACUAGAUUUAAAACCUUACCAUUGUAAAACAACACAUUUCAACUGUUAGGGCUUCGUGAAAAGACAAACCAAUCCUGUAAAAUACAUUGUAGAAUGAGAUCCCGUUUUGUAAGAGUGUUUACAUGAUUGUAGGGUUUGGAUUCCUUUGACAUUCUCUCUGUUAGCGUCUACGUUGUUUCCUAGCUACUGGGGUUAGGAUUAGGAACGGGGUUAAAGUUAAGGACUGGGCAAGUGUUAGGGUUAGGAUUAGGUUAGGAUUAUGGUUAAGGUUGGGAUUAGGUUAGGAUUAGGGUUAAGGUUGGGGUUAAGGUUAGGUUAGGAUUAGGGUUAAGGUUGGGAUUAGGUUAGGUUAGGUUAGGAUUAGGUUAGGAUUAGGGUUAAGGUUGGGAUUAGGUUAGGAUUAGGGUUAAGGUUGGGGUUAAGGUUAGGUUAGGAUUAGGUUAGGAUUAGGGUUAAGGUUGGGGUUAGGUUAGGUUAGGAUUGGGGUUAAAGUUAAGGACUGGGCAAGUGUUAGGGUUAGGAUCAGGUUAGGAUUAGGGUUAGGGUUAAGGUUGGGGUUAGGUUAGGUUAGGAUUGGGGUUAAAGUUAAGGACUGGGCAAGUGUUAGGGUUAGGAUCAGGUUAGGAUUAGGGUUAGGGUUAAGGUUGGGUUAGGUUAGGUUGAGAUUGGGGUUAAAGUUAAGGACUGGGCAAGUGUUAGGGUUAGGAUUAGGUUAGGAUUAGGGUUAAGUUUGGGGUUAGGUUAGGAUUGGGAUUAAAGUUAAGGACUGGGCAAGUGUUAGGGUUAGGAUUAGGGUUAAAGUUGGGAUUAGGUUAGGAUUAGGGUUAAGGUUGAGGUCAGGGCUGAAGCUCAGGGUUAGGAUUAAGGUUAUGGUUGGGGAGGUGGGGGUAAAAUGGGGUAUUAGAAAGGCACCGAAAGGUUGCAAGAUCGAGUCCCCCUGCUGACAAGGUCAAAAUCUUGCGUUCUACCCCUGAACAAGGCAGUUAACCCACUGUUCCUAGGCCGUCAUUGUAAAUAAGAAUUUGUUCUUAACUGACAUGCCUAGUUAAAUAAAGUUAAAAUAGAAAUUAGACCAGGUGAUGGAAAGACAGAGAUGGAGGGGAGGUGGGGGUAAAAUGGAGUACUAUAAACCCACAACACAGUGCUGUGUCAUUAUUAGACCAGGUGAUGGGAAAGAGAGAGA
ensembl:lncRNA